UCGAGGGGCAUCAUGAGGUAGCAAUACCUUGAUGGCGACCGGCGCACGGGUGAGUAACGCGUAUGCAACCUGCCCGAUACCGGGGUAUAGCCCAUGGAAACGUGGAUUAACACCCCAUAGUACUUUUAUCCUGCAUGGGAUGUGAGUUAAAUGUUCAAGGUAUCGGAUGGGCAUGCGUCCUAUUAGUUAGUUGGCGGGGUAACAGCCCACCAAGACGAUGAUAGGUAGGGGUUCUGAGAGGAAGGUCCCCACAUUGGAACUGAGACACGGUCCAAACUCC
rnacentral:rRNA from 1 species